UAUAUACAUAUAUAUACAAAAUUAGUUAAUAAUCAUAUAAAUAACAAUAUAUUGAUAAUUAUAAAAACACAGGAUGGGUAAAAAAACUUCUAAAUGAUAUUAAAAAUCAAUUACUCCAUCUCGAGACGCUUUGAACCAACAUUGCUGUUUUCCUUCUUUCUUUUUCAUAUUAUCAGAAAAACGUUUUAAUUCCUCCUAGUUUGUACAUACUUGUUUUUCUUUAAAAUUAGAAUAAAAGAAUCAAAAGGAGUACGCAAUAGAUUUUGAAGAAUCACGUUAUAAAAGAAAUUGUUUCUUCUCUCCCUCUCCCUCUCCCUCUCUCUCUCCCCUCUUUCCCUUUUAUUUUGUUUACUAUGUAACCCUCAUUGUAAGGCCCCAUCGAAAACAUCGAUUAGCUUAGUCCAUUCGUGUCGGCACGAGAGUGAAUAACGGUUAUACUAAACGCACGACGUUUCACGAGGAGCACGCUCGUCGCGUCGUGACUCGAAAGUGCCCGAACAUAAAGUGUCUCGUUAUCGUUGUACUCUUUUAUAUGUAUGUUUGUUGCGCCAUUCGACGACGACGACAACGACGAAGAAGACGACGACGACGAAGAAGACGAAGAAGACGAAGAAGACGAAGACAACGAAGUUCCAUCGAGUAUAGACACACGUGCUCCAUACAUACAACCUUACUUUGAAUAUCAAAGGAGAAAGAAAAAGAAAGAGAGAGAGAGAGAGAGAAAGAGAGGAAGAGAAAUAGUUCGAUCGAUAGUUCCAUUGUUGUAUUUAUUUCGUUCGCCAUAGAAUUACGAAAAGCGAAGAUCAAGACGAAGGACGUAGACGUAGACAUAGACGUAGACGUAGACGUAGACGUAGACGUAGACGUAGAUGUAGACAUAGACGAAGAAGAGAGACGAAGAGGACGAAGAGGAUGAAGAGGACGAAGAAAAAGGAAAGAGAAAGGAUCGUACACAGGUUGGAAUGCACUUCGAGUUGCUUGCUUGCUUGCUUGUGGUAGAGCUUAGCUAAGCUAGUUUAGCUAGCUAGCUAGCUAGCUAGCUAGCUAGAGUCUAGUUGUUUCCGGGUGCAUCUCCAGGAACAGAUAAGAGUCUUACAAUAAGGCUACUCCAGGAAUUCCAGAGCGAAGGAGUCUCUCACGUUCGAGUCAGCAACGUGAUUCCUUUUACUCGUCGUUUUACUUUGCCAUAUACGUGAUCGGAAUAUUUUAUUAUCCUGUUUUUUUUUUAUUCUUUUUAAUUUUUUGUUUUAAUUUUUUAUUUCCUCUCUCUUUCUCUUUCUCUGUAUAUCUGUCUAUCUCUUUCUGUCUCUGUAGUUUUCCGAUAUACAUCUUUAUACUAGUUUUCUGCUUUUUCAUCGUACCGACUCGUUCUUCUUCUUCUUCUUCUUCAUUUUCUUUUUCAUUUUCUUUUUCUUUUUCUUUAUCCGUCUUCUUCUUUAUCCCUUGAGUGAUUACGUGACGAGGAAGAAAUUCUGAUGACCGUAAACUCGAUUCUAAAUUUUUUUAAAUGUUUUUGUUACUGUUGUUGUUGUUGUUGUUGUUGUUGUUAAUGAUUAGAAAUUGAGUUGAUUUGAAGAUGGCUUGUUAAAAAGAUAUGUGUAUGUGGCAGGACGAUUCGAAAAUAUUUUUAGAAUCUAAAUGUGUUCUCUUGAAUAUUAGAGUCGUAGUAGAUUUGUAUAGAAUAUAUAUUUAAGGGAAGAAUGAUUCAUUCUCUCUUUCUCUCUCUCUCUCUUCUCUGUUUCUCUUUGGAGAAAGAGAAUGAUUUCAUUCGAUUCUAAACGAGGAAAUGUGCUUUACUCAUGAUUUUCAUUGUUCUCUUUUGUUGAUUCUUUAAUAUAUUUCGUGAACAUUUAUUUUCUUUUAUUUUCUGUUUUUUUUUUUUUUUUUUUUUUUU